rnacentral:rRNA from 1 species
UACGUAGGGUGCGAGCGUUAAUCGGAAUUACUGGGCGUAAAGCGUGCGCAGGCGGUGAGUUAAGUCUGAUGUGAAAGCCCCGGGCUCAACCUGGGAAUGGCAUUGGAAACUGGCUCGCUGGAGUGUGGCAGAGGGGGGUGGAAUUCCGCGUGUAGCAGUGAAAUGCGUAGAGAUGCGGAGGAACACCGAUGGCGAAGGCAGCCCCCUGGGCCAACACUGACGCUCAUGCACGAAAGCGUGGGGAGCAAACAGG